CAAAAAUUUUUUAGAGAUCAAAUCAAGAAAAUUAAAUGCUACCUCGAUGUUGAAUUAAGAAAAGAUCUAAUAGAAAAAAAUUAGAUUAUAGGUCUGUUCGACCUUUAAAUUCUUACAUGAUUUGAGUUAAGACCGGUGUAAGCCAGGUUGGUUUCUAUCUUCAUAAUAGAAGUUUUUAUAGUACGAAAGGACCUAAAAACUUAAUUUUAUUAAUUAAUUAGCUUAUAUAAAGCAAGUAUUUUGAAAAUACUAGAAAGAUUUAAAAAUUUAUUAAUUUUAUGU
rnacentral:misc_RNA from 1 species